CGGGACACGUGGUAUCCUGUCUGAAUAUGGGGGGACCAUCCUCCAAGGCUAAAUACUCCUGACUGACCGAUAGUGAACCAGUACCGUGAGGGAAAGGCGAAAAGAACCCCGGCGAGGGGAGUGAAAAAGAACCUGAAACCGUGUACGUACAAGCAGUGGGAGCACGCUUAGGCGUGUGACUGCGUACCUUUUGUAUAAUGGGUCAGCGACUUAUAUUCUGUAGCAAGGUUAACCGAAUAGGGGAGCCGAAGGGAAACCGAGUCUUAACUGGGCGUUAAGUUGCAGGGUAUAGACCCGAAACCCGGUGAUCUAGCCAUGGGCAGGUUGAAGGUUGGGUAACACUAACUGGAGGACCGAACCGACUAAUGUUGAAAAAUUAGCGGAUGACUUGUGGCUGGGGGUGAAAGGCCAAUCAAACCGGGAGAUAGCUGGUUCUCCCCGAAAGCUAUUUAGGUAGCGCCUCGUGAAUUCAUCUCCGGGGGUAGAGCACUGUUUCGGCAAGGGGGUCAUCCCGACUUACCAACCCGAUGCAAACUGCGAAUACCGGAGAAUGUUAUCACGGGAGACACACGGCGGGUGCUAACGUCCGUCGUGAAGAGGGAAACAACCCAGACCGCCAGCUAAGGUCCCAAAGUCAUGGUUAAGUGGGAAACGAUGUGGGAAGGCCCAGACAGCCAGGAUGUUGGCUUAGAAGCAGCCAUCAUUUAAAGA
rnacentral:rRNA from 1 species